rnacentral:rRNA from 2 species
UGGCUGUCGUCAGCUCGUGUCGUGAGAUGUUGGGUUAAGUCCCGCAACGAGCGCAACCCUUGUCAUUAGUUGCUACGAAAGGGCACUCUAAUGAGACUGCCGGUGACAAACCGGAGGAAGGUGGGGAUGACGUCAAGUCCUCAUGGCCCUUAUGGGUAGGGCUUCACACGUCAUACAAUGGUCGGGACAGAGGGUCGCCAACCCGCAGGGGGAGCCAAUCCCAGAAACCCGAUCGUAGUCCGGAUUGCAGGCUGCAACUCGCCUGCAUGAAGUCGGAAUCGCUAGUAAUCGCGGAUCAGCAUGUCGCGGUGAAUACGUUCCCGGGUCUU